UCUCUCUCACACACACACACACAUUUUUCCUUUGAGGUUACAAACGCGAGGACUAGCUGUUGUUGCCUUGUAUGGUCAAGCCACCAUUGCACCAGACACGCAAAUACACAUUGCUCUCAGAUUCUUUUGGUGGGGUUUGCAAGUAGAGAGAUCGCAUUUAGGAAUUGUAUUUUGCCAUCAUACAGAAUGGCACAAGAUGAGGCAAUAGGUGUGUGGUGCAGAUGCUCUCCAACCAUUUGAAUCUGCAGUUCUCCACAACUCAUUUACAACAAAAGCCUUGAGUAGUAGCACUGAUGUCACUAUAAGAUAUAAUUUUGUAAAAAUCCAAAUAAGCAUUGUAUAUACAAUUCAGUUCAUUAAGCAUAACUCAAUCUAUAGGCCGAAUGAAUUGAAACUGAAAAUAUAGGUGAUGCACCAAAUUUUUAUCUAGGAAAAUUGGGGCAUUUCUUUUUAGCAUUACUCCUUAUACAUUAAAUAUUAUGUGCCAAAACAGGAUGGAUAGAACCAUACUUUGUGCUUGCUUGAAUUUAAUACUUAUAUAUCAAUUCCCUACUCUAGGCUUUUCAUCAGGAUUAAUAAGUAGUAGUGAUGCAUCACUUCCCUAAUAGCCUACAGCUGGCAAAACUUAGGUUAUGAAACAUCAUGUGUCAACUGUCAAUUUUAUAAAUGUCCUUAUAUUAUGUCAUAAUCUUCCGACAUGAUUUCAAUGUUUACAGGUGUACUACAAUGCAGUAAACUGAUCGUGUACAUUUCUUAAUUUUCCAUAGGACCUCUCCAUCCUCGAGCCCUUCUUCUCCUCUCUCCGCGCCGUCUCGCCUCCCCUGCUCUCGCAGCGCCACCUUCCCUGCCCGGCGCUCGAGGUGCAGCAGUAGGCGCGCCAUGAUUUUGGAUCGGGCGGAUAUCUUCGCCAGGAGAGUAGGAGCACUUGCUGUUAAUAUGAACGAUCUCUCACUAAGUUUUUGUUAUGACGUUGUGUGCCGAUUCAUGAUUUAAACACGCAAAAUGUUUGGUUUGCAUAUUUGUGCCUAGCCCUGUUACCAGCAGUGUAUUUUUUGCUGUAAGAAAGACAGCAGUGCUUUAUUUCUUUGACUUUUUGAUCGUGUCUAAUUUCUGGUAAAAGAGAGGAAUUUGAGAGAGAUAGACAACCUGAAGAGCUUUGAAUGGUUGUUCGAGUGUGCCGCCGGCCUCCUCGCUGCUGUUGUUUGCGUAGCUGGCACGGUGUGUGGCUACUGCCGAGAUAAGCGCAGUUUACUCCAGGUUUGGUGAUGGUGUUGAACAACACCUUAACUGGGCCAAGGAAUUUAGUAGCAUUGCGGGAUCAUAAACCAGUUUUUCUGUUCUCUGUGCUCACAUAGUAAGAACAUGCUUGCAAGUUCUUUUCCCUAGGUGUAAUUUCUUUUGCUGAGAUAGAUUAAGCCUGGGUCGAGGUGGCUGCUGUGUGCCGGUUGCCAGUACUUGUUUGUUGUAAUGUCUUACCCAGUGAGAUUUCUUUUCUUCUUGCCUAUUUUCAGAGGUUCUGCUUGAAGAUUCUCUAAUCACUUUCUUUGGAUUUUUUUUUCCUGAGAUAUGCUUUCAGGUUACUUCAAUGUUACCAGACUUAAAAUGUACUAUCUAGCAUACUAGCACGUGUGUAUAUGAUGCCUCUUUUUAUCCUUGAAUGUAAGACACAUGGUGUUUUGUUCCAUUGUUAUGCUUAACGGAAGUGAUGUUCUGUUAUCAUAUUCAAAACUAUAGCUCUUUGUUUGCAGUAUCUCGAAGGGAGCAAUAUUUUGAUACUUGCUUUAUAGGAAUUCUCUUUCUUUGCCUAGAAUUUGUGAUUUAUGACUGAUGUCAAUUCCACCUUUGUAGGUGCUUCUCAAUUAUUACUAAUUUUGAAACUGCAGAGGAGCAGGAGAUGAGGAGGGCGCCACUUGGUGUACAAUGGUGCAUGAUGCGGCAGUUAGACCGGGAGAUGAGGAGCGCGGCACUGGGUGUACGAAGGAUUAGUAGGAAGAAUGUUAAUCACAGUGGGUGAAAAGAAAAUGCGAGCUCGGCUGAUUGCAUACUAUUUGGUUGAGUUGUUUUGUCCUAAAGAUACAAUCAAGCUGAAGAUUUCUUUUCUAUGGAAAUUCACCAUGGGAAUCGAAAUAAUGUACAGGAUACUGAAUUAACAGUUACACGAAAGUUUAGCACACACUUUUCUAAGAGACGGGAGACGGGACCACCAGUGUCAUGGCCCUCUUUAUCAAGGGCGUCGACAAUAGGGCUACACUCACAAUGAACUGGAACAGCUUCUUCCAUAAGGCAAACAUGAAGAAAGGGUGUACAUAUGCUUUCGCUUUCAAGUGCACGUCCAAGGGCCUUUGCAUGAUUGUCUAUCCAAUCUAAGCAGGUCACAAUAGUCCUUUGCUACGUAACUUGGUAUUACUAUAAGUAUUUAUUGAGACUUUUAUAUCUGGCAUCAUUUUGGAUCUUAUGUAAAAAAAUUAUGACAAUCCUGUUCGUAUGGCUAUCAUCAAU